rnacentral:rRNA from 1 species
AUUGAACGCUGGCGGAAUGCUUUACACAUGCAAGUCGAACGAUGAACCUUAGCUUGCUAAGGGGAUUAGUGGCGAACGGGUGAGUAAUGUAUCGGAACGUAUCCAAUAAUGGGGGAUAACUAGUCGAAAGAUUAGCUAAUACCGCAUACGUCCUACGGGAGAAAGCUAGGGACCUUCGGGCCUGGCGUUAAUGGAGCGGCCGAUAUCUGAUUAGCUAGUUGGUGGGGUAAAGGCUCACCAAGGCGACGAUCAGUAGCUGGUCUGAGAGGACGACCAGCCACACUGGAACUGAGACACGGUCCAGACUCCUACGGGAGGCAGCAGUGGGGAAUUUUGGACAAUGGGCGAAAGCCUGAUCCAGCCAUUCCGCGUGAGUGAAGAAGGCCUUCGGGUCGUAAAGCUCUUUCGCAAGGGAAGAAAACUUAAGCUCUAACACAGCUUGAGGUUGACGGUACCUUGAUAAGAAGCACCGGCUAACUACGUGCCAGCAGCCGCCGUAA